ACACCAAGAAGUUGAGUCAUAUAGGUGAUGGUUAAAAGAUAGUUAAGCAAAAGGAAAGAAGUGGGUUGCCUGAUGUGAUGUAUAGAGGUAAAAUUUAAGUACAUUAAUAUGAUCUGAAGGUAGCUUGGCGUAGGCUGAAUCUAUGAAAUCCUUGAGGGAAACUGGGAUUAGGUACCCCAUUAUUCUUGGAUAUAAAUAGAAAAUAUUUACCAGAGUACUAUGAAUAAUAUAAAAUUUAAAACUCAAAGAACUUGGCGGUGUUUUAGACCAUUUAGGGGAACCUGUCUCGUAAUCGACAAUCCGCGCUGUACCUGACCUUUUCUUGUUUUCAGUUUGUAUACCGUUGUCGUCAGGUAACUUUUUAGAGAAUAGAAGUUGGCUGUAGAAAUGUGGUAAUUUAGUACGUCAAAUCAAGGUGCAGCCAAUGAAAAGGAGAGGAUGGGUUACAAUUAUGUAGUUAUAAUAACGAAUAUCUAUAUGAAAGUAUAGGUUGUGAAGGAGGACUUAAAAGUAAACUGGAUUAUAAAAAUAGUUUGAAUAAGGCUCUGAAACGUGU
rnacentral:rRNA from 1 species